GACGAACGCUGGCGGCGUGCUUAACACAUGCAAGUCGAACGGAAAGGCCUGCUUUCCCUUGUGGAUUGCGGGUACUCGAGUGGCGAACGGGUGAGUAACACGUGAGUGAUCUGCCCCCAACUUGGGUAUAAGCCUGGGAAACUGGGUCUAAUUCCCGAUAGGACUGCAGGGUGGUGCUUGUGGUGGAAAACGAUUUUCUAGUGGUUGGGGAUGAGCUCGCGGCCUAUCAGCUUGUUGGUGGGGUAAUGGCCUACGAAGGCGGCGACGGGUAGCCGGCCUGAGAGGGGGGACGGCCACAUUGGGACGGAGAUACGGCCCAGACGCCUACGGGAGGCAGCAGUGGGGAAUAUAGCACAAUGGGCGGAAGCCUGAUGCAGCGAGGCCGCGAGGGGGAUGACGGCCUUCGGGUGGUAAACUCCUUGCGACCGCGAGGAAGCCACCUGGUUGGAAGGGUGGUGACGGUAGUGGUAGAAGAAGCACCGGCUAACUACGUG
rnacentral:rRNA from 1 species